rnacentral:lncRNA from 1 species
ACAGAAACCUUUGUGAACAAAAUAAAAAUCUUUGAAACGAAUGAAACAGAUAUCCUGACCACAUAUGACUUUGAGGUGUUAAUUUGCAACAAAUAAUUGAUGGCGAGAUAGAUACAGUAGAAAAUCCACAAGAAAUUAUAGAAUGUAUAAAUCAACAGCUGAUAGGGUUAAAGAAUGAAUUGCGAAAACAGCAUAUAAAAAAACUGAAAUGGCUUUUACAAAUGCAACUCCGUAAAAAUGAAACUAAAAAUUGCUUCCAAUUGCAAGAAGUUAUUACAGUAAUUAGCGACAUCAGCAUUCCAAAUCCAGUUAAAGAAAUUUUAAAAAAAGGUCCUGUGUAUGCAAUAAGAAUUAUACCUAACUAUAUGGAUGUCAUUCCGUCAUUUGAAAGAGUUAUUAAAGAUCUUAACGAAUUAGAGAAAGAAAAGCAGAGAUGGAAAUUAUUGCAAGAGACUGAAACAAAACAAGCAAAACAACGAAAUUCACGAGGCUAGAAGAGAAAGACAACGGAUAAAAAUGGUGAGAAAUUGGAUGGUACAGAAUGACUUAAUAGUAACUAGAGAAGAUAAGUCAAACAAAGUUGUUAUAGUAAAAAACGAGUUACAUGAAAAGGACCUCAAAAGAUAUAUAAAAGAUACGAAGGCAGAAAUCCUGAAGAACGACCUGACACCAACAAUAACUAAUAAAAUCAAUAAACUGCUAAAGCAUAAAGACAUGCCAGACUUCUUAAAAAUAAAAUAAGUACCUAACCCUGCUUGCCCAAGGCUUUUUGAAUAUGCUAAGACCCACAAAUCUCCGAUAACAUUCAGACCGAUUCUGGAAAAGUUCCGAGCGCCCACAUAUUAUUUGGAAAAGCUGUGGCUUCAUGGAUAGCUGGAAUAACAAAUUCAUAUGAGAAUCCAGCAUUGUUUCGAGAUUUAGCAGACUUAUUAUGCAAUAAAUCAUACUUCGAAUUUAAGAAUAAAUUUUAUAGGC